rnacentral:rRNA from 1 species
UACAGAGGUCUCAAGCGUUGUUCGGAUUCAUUGGGCGUAAAGGGUGCGUAGGCGGUGCGGUAAGCGUGCGGUGAAAGCUCGGGGCUCAACCCCGAGUCGGCCGUGCGAACUGCUGGACUGGAGCAUGUCAGAGGCGGGUGGAAUUCCGGGUGUAGCGGUGGAAUGCGUAGAGAUCCGGAAGAACACCGGUGGCGAAGGCGGCCCGCUGGGACAUAGCUGACGCUGAGGCGCGACAGCGUGGGGAGCAAACAGG